ACCUAAAAAUAGUUCUUUAUGGACUUUGUUAAAAUCGAAUCUGUUGCGGCUGUUGUUGCUGAUCCAGAUUCUAAGAACUGAUAUUUUUUUGUGGCUUCUCCCAGCUCCUGAGCUUCCGGAUUUUUAUUAAUCAAAAGUAAAGAAAUUGAGAAACUGUUGAAUGUUUGCCGCAUACGGAACCGCCAUAUUUUUAUCCUGCAGGAUUUUCCACCCGUCUAUAGUGGGCAUCUGAACUUCUUACUCCGUCCCUUCUGGAUCCCGAAAUCUAUCCCUUACGACUGCCGAGGAUCCAUCCAAUCUGACUGACCAAACUUGUAUAAAAAAUGAGGAAAACCGGAAAAUCUGAGACGGAAAACCAUCGAAAUUCCCCGGAAACACGGAACCACCGAGUUUUCCGGCACAAAGGCAGGCCUGUUCGAAGUGUCAUUGUUUGCCGUUAAAUGCAUCGAAACUUAUCAAAGAUUACAGCGUAGAUUUCUAGCCUUUUCAAAAUAAGGUUUCAGCCAGGAAUGUACCACACUUUAACAUGGGAUAAAUAUUAAUAAUAAUAAAAAAUUAAGAUUGUUUGGGCUUCCAUUUGACAUCCCACAGUUCCAAUUUCAUCCUACCAAAAUACAUUUGACGUAUUAAUUCAAAUCCGUCUGAACAGGAUGAAACUGGGAAUGUGAGAUAGAUAGCAGAAUGUUUUUCCUUUUCUUUUGAAUACAUUUAAAUCUGGGAAAUGAAUUCUAUUUCCAUUUUUUUUUUCAAAAUCAAAAUAAUGAAUAAAAACCUAAUUCUCGGUAAAAUUUACCGAUCCCAAGAGGUAAUUUUUAUCGU